rnacentral:rRNA from 1 species
GACAUGUGGACUGCAUAGAAGUGAGAAUGUUGGCAUGAGUAGCGAGAUGUGGGUGAGAAUCCCACAGGCCGUAAACCCAAGGUUUCCAGGGGAAGGUUCGUCCGCCCUGGGUUAGUCAGGACCUAAGCCGAGGCCGAAAGGCGUAGGUGAUGGACAACAGGUUGAUAUUCCUGUACCACCAAUAACCGUUUGAGAAAUGGGAUGACACAGUAGGAUAAGCUAACCGCACUGUUGGUUAUGUGCGGGCAAGUAUUGAGGCAGUUCCGAUAGGCAAAUCCGUCGGAAUAAUGCUGGGGUACGAUGCGGAGCGAAAUUUAGUAGCGAAGUAGCUGAUUUCACACUGUCGAGAAAAGUCUCUAUCGAGGUUAAAGGUGCCUGUACCGCAAACCGACACAGGUGGGUGAGGAGAGUAUCCUAAGGCCAGCGAGAGAACUGUUGUUAAGGAACUCGGCAAAAUGACCCCGUAACUUAGGGAGAAGGGGUGCCUUCGAAAGAAGGCCGCAGAGAAUAGGCCCAAGCGACUGUUUACCAAAAACAUAGGUUUCUGCUAAGUCGCAAGACGAUGUAUAGGAGCUGACGCCUGCCCGGUGCUGGAAGGUUAAGGGGAUCUGUUAGAGCAAUCGAAGCAGUGAACUUAAGCCCCAGUAAACGGCGGCCGUAACUAUAACGGUCCUAAGGUAGCGAAAUUCCUUGUCGGGUAAGUUCCGACCCGCACGAAAGGCGUAACGAUUUGGGCACUGUCUCAACAACAGACUGGGUGAAAUUGUAAUACCGGUGAAGAUGCCGGUUACCUGCGACAGGACGGAAAGACCCCAUGGAGCUUUACUGUAGCUUGACAUUGAGUCUCGGUGCUACAUGUACAGGAUAGGUGGGAGGCUAUGAAGCAUGGACGUCAGUUUGUGUGGAGCCAUCCUUGGGAUACCACCCUUGUAGUACUGGGAUUCUAACCAGCUGCCUUGAAUCAGGUAGUGGGACACUGUCAGGUGGACAGUUUGACUGGGGCGGUCGCCUCCUAAAGAGUAACGGAGGCGCUCAAAGGUUCUCUCAGUACGGUCGGAAAUCGUACGUAGAGUGUAAAGGCAGAAGAGAGCUUGAUUGCAAGACAUACAGGUCGAGCAAGGACGAAAGUCGGACUUAGUGAUCCGGUGGUACCGCAUGGAAGGGCCAUCGCUCAACGGAUAAAAGCUACCCUGGGGAUAACAGGCUGAUCUCCCCCAAGAGUCCACAUCGACGGGGAGG